UCUGGAAUACCAGAAAACACAAGAUUAUCUCUCAUGCUACGGGCUUGUAAAUCCAUAACGGUCUCUUUUAUUUUUUUAUUUUCUAUGUUUAAUUGGGUCACAUUUUCGGUUAGAGAUUUGACCGAGUCCCGUAGCGUGGCGUUUUCUGCAGCAAGUGUUUCCACCUGCUUCUGGCUGAACUCCAGGGAUUCUUUUAGAGAUUGAAAUUCCCGGUGUAAGAUCUCUACCAGGGACAGCCUCGCAUCAAAACUGGACAAUCGCUUAUCGAUUGACUCCAGGAUGUCGACGAUAUCUUUGCCGGCAGGCGAUGUUGUGCCGGGGGAGUCUGCCGGGCGAUAUCUUUUAGAUGAUGGCGUCUCAGUUUUGGCCGGGGAAGACAUGCUCUGGGCCUUCUUCAUUACUAAAUCUUCGAAGCACUGGUCGAUGUAUUCUUGGAGAGCGUCUAAACUCUCCUCGUUGUCCUCCAGGGUGUUAAAGAUGAUAGGACAGAUGUUGUUAGUUAUAUGACAGUUGGUUAGUUUAUUUGGCAAUACUGAAGAUUAAAGAAACUUUGUUAAAUUCUAGGCUACCAUUCGUUUGUUUUUGUUUUUUUCCGCCAAAUCGCCGGCGUCUGACGUCACCUACAACAUGGGUCCUUACCUUACCGCCGUCACUUCCGUCACUAAAUAUUUUUUUGAAUUUUACUAACUUUCAAUAUACAAUUGAAUUUUGCCCAGUCUUUAUUUAAUGUCCAAAAUGGUCGGGAGUGUAUGGAAUUUCCCAUGCACCACUGAAUGCACCGUAGGUGUGCAUGUCCGCAGCUUCAGCUCAGAGACAAACAGCCACCGAACAACGUUGAUGUUCUACUUCACUCAGUUAUGUUUGUGUUUAGCCAUGAGUGUAUUUGAUGACUUACCAGCAGUUUUUUCUGCUUCUGUUAAAAUGAGGUUAUGCGUAAGUGGCAGUUUGCUACUGAAAGAUUUAAUUCCUAACUGGCUUCUAGCAGAGAGGUUUGUUGUUAUUGUGUUGUUCUUUCUGUCCUCUGUGUACUGGAUGAUAAACAGUGUAAAGUUGUCUUCAUUGCAUAGCUGUAUGCUAGAUUAAUUCAUAAUAUCUGACUUUAAGUUUACAUAACCAGUGUGAAGCAAUAUGUCUGUUUAUUUAGUUAUAUACUGUAUUUGAGUACUGCUCAGCUCUAUCUUCAUGUUUACAAUGUAAUUUGGUUUCUGAUAUUGCUUUGCUUUGCUUUGUCUACAGAAACCACACACACACACACACACACACACACACACACACACACACACACAAGAAUGACAACUUUAUUCUUGGAGUCUGCCACUCUCAUCUGAACAUUUAUAAGUGUUCUGACCUGACACGCUGAAGUGAUUGCUGGAACCUCAGAUUUCAUGAAACCUUAAAAACAUUUACUUUUACUACUUUCAGCUCGACUUCAGUCUACAUAUCAUCAAACGUUCUACCAUCAGCUGUUGGUAUCAGCUGUUACCCUCUAGGCAGUUUUCGGACAGCUGGCUUCCAGAAAUUAUAACGUCCUGACCGUUAAGGUCCUGUUCUUCCGGCCUCUUCUCGCUGGGUUUGUUCUACAGUCCAUACUCUGCCCUGUCUCCUCCACUCUGAGGUACACUGCAUCAGAACUACUCUAUCUACGCUUCCAGCAUCUCUGCCCUUCCACUGGCUUUACUGCUUCACCCGGACAUUGCCUGGUGCCCGAGUCCAAAGUAAUGUCCACAGCAGAUCCAGACAGAAUUAUAGGAUCGACAGCAUUAGCCUGAUACCAUCCCUGUGGUCAUCUCACCGUUGCUCCACUAGGAAGCCUGGUGGACAGACUGCUGACUGUAGUGUGCUUGCUAGCCUUGCCAGAGACCUGUCAUCAUCCAAAUGAUUUCCUCGAACUCAGUCUGACCACUCUGCUUGGAUUUGUUUACACCUGCCAACCCCGUGUGUCUGGACGUGGGGGUGACCUUGCGAUCUUAUACAACAGCAAGUAUAAGGUAUCUUCUCUUUCUGCUCCUGCCUAUUCCUUGUUUGAAUCCAUGAUGAUACAAAUUAACGGACCAUUUCCCACGAUUUUAGUUGCUGUUUACUUUCCACCUAAACCAAACUCUGAUUUUUCAAUGGACUUUUCUGACUUUCUUGCUGAAAUUCUGCUCUUAUCUCCAAAUAUGCUACUGCUGGGAGUUUGAAUAUCCCCAUGGACAGCACAUCAAAUUCAUCCACAAGAGAUUUUAUAUCCUGUCUCGAAUAUUUCUGCUUACAGCAAUAGAUGAACGUCCCCACACACUCCAAAGGACAUAUUUUGGAUCUUGUCUGCUGUACUGGUGUCACCCCAAAGAACUGUGCUGUAUCGGUCAUGCCUUUUUCAGAUCAUAAAUUUGUUUUAUUCAGUGUUAGUCUCCCACUGUACAAAGAUAAUCAAAACCGCAGAACAACAAAAUAAGACGGUUAAAAGCCUGGAGAGCUUUGUAUUAAUUACUAAACAGUUCAGCAUCAUUGCUCAAAUAGAACUACAUACUGUACAGGUGCAUUGUGUCAUUACCAUGAUUUUCUUAUUUAGGACUGAUGUUAACAUGAAAAAGACAGUGGUACAAAUGAGUAAACAGCCCAAUAACACGGGGUUUUGGUGUUUAGAAAGCAGAGAGCCAAAGGUACUAAUUAAGCAAACAAGCACUCAUUUGUUUACAACCUGUGACUGACAGGUCAUUAGGAUAUAUGCAUACUGUAGGUAAUCUUCUAUUCCUACUCUAAUAAUCAGUGUUAAACUAAUACAUCACCAGCAGGGGGCUCACUAUGACACACUAACCAGUAAUAUUGCACGUAAAGGAAGAAAAUUUAUAUGAUAUCAAAGUCUUGUCAAAUGUUCAAGUUGACAGUUUUGUGCAUGUUUCUGUGUAUCAUGACCAUUUUACUUUUCACUGCUGUAUUUUUGACUCCAAAUGUCUAAAACUGACACUGCAGCAAAGUGGGGACUUCUUUAAAUAGUUCAAAACAAUAAACCAAACCAAAAACUAAUAUAUAAAAUAGAAUAAAUGUAAUGUUUAAUUACUGUAUGUAAACAAAUUUGAUUGUAUUUCACUUUGUGUAUUUGUUCACUUAAAAAUCAUAUUGAGAUUUUGCAUUAUUGGGUUUUGACAUUUUUAAAAAACACAGAGCACAUAUUUUUAUGAACACUAAGCAAUAAAAAGCAAAGCUAUGAACCACAGAUACCUUACAGUUAGUUCCAUUCAUAAUUGGACACUGACAUAAGUUUUGUUUUUUUACCCCUUUACCAGAACAUAUUCUAAUUAUAGUUAUACAAUGGACAUUGACGUAAUGUGUAGACUCUCAGCUUUUCAUUUUCGGGGUAUUCACAGUCAAAUUGAAUAAAGGGUUUUGGAGUUUCAGCUUCUUAACAUGUGCCAACUGCUUUUUAAAGGGACCAGAAGUAACUGGACAACUCAAAGGCUGUUUCAUGGGCAGGUGUGGGCACUUCCUGUAUUAUGCCAUUAUUAAUUAAGCAGAUAAAGGGCCUGGAGUUGAUUUAAGGUGUGGUGCUUGCAUUUGGAAUAUUUUGCUGUGAACAGACAACAUAUGGCCAAAGGAGCUCUCCAUGCAGGUGAAAAAAGCCAUCCUUAAGCUGAGAAAACAGAAAAACCCAUCUGAGAAACUGCUUCAAGUGAUGAAAUCUACAGUUUGCUACAUCCUGAGAAAGAAAGCAGUGAUAAGCUCAGCAAUGCAAAAAGACCUGGAUGUCCAUGGAAGACAACAGCAGUAGAUGAUCGCAGAAUCAUUUCAUGGUGAAGAGAAACCCCUUCACAACAGCCAACCAAGUGACAACACUCUCCAGGACGUAGGUGUAUCGAUAUCCAA